GGACCAGUAACUCAGUUGGUAGAGUGUCGGGCUUUUAACCCGAAAGCCACGGGUUCGAACCCCGUCUGGUCCA
rnacentral:tRNA from 1 species